CCACCAUACACAACUCUGCAGUCUUGUUUGGGAGUCAAAAUUCUCAAAAUGGGUAACUCUGUUCAAAUAUACUGUUUGGGAACUUUUGUAAUGUAUUUUGCAAGUCAAACAGGAAGGUAUUUCCAUAAGAAGGUUCACUUCACAUGCUCAACAAUUCAAAUUUGCGGAUGAUAUUUCUCAAAAUGGAGGGCUCUAUUUGGCUUGCCAACAAUCUUCCUCACCAUUAUCAUCCUUGCUAUACCGGUUAAACUGAACAGUCUUCAUUCUGACAUUUGCCCUAUUAACCUGAGUACACAAGAAUCCGAAACAACUGUUAGAAAUUAUAAUCUUUAUAUAUAGCCAAAAUGUUGAAUAAGAUGAUGUACUUGAUAAUAAAUACCUGAGUUAAUAAAUAAUUAAGGGGCCGGUAACAAUGUCAGCAUCUUAUCAAGUGGGGAAAGCCUACGCAACGAAGAUGCUGCCUGCUUUCAAGAAAUAAUAACUUUCCAAUUCCAUAAGGUAGGUUAAUGCCCUUUUAAAAAUAUCUCCACCAGCCUAACAAUUAUUCAUUGAAAUGUGUGAGUGUGAAUUCGAACGAAUUAAUCAAAUAUGAUGACACGAGAAAGAAAAUUAAAAUAACCACAAGAAGUAGAAAUAUACUUUUGUUAUAUUUAGUGCAUCUUCUGUGUGUGCUCAAACGCAAUGCCUCAAGGCGCAAGAUAAUUUUAUGACCAUCAAUCUUUUGCAGCCAUAUGCAGACUUGAAACAUUGGCGGUGGUUCUAAGGAACUUGAAAAUUAGAAAAGUUUCAAAAUGAGUGACUAAAUAUGAUAAUCGAAAUUAAUUAAAUAUACACGCCUUGUAAAUAUGAAACUAAAUUACUCAAAUGUAUGUGCCUCUUCGCAGCAAUUGCUCGUGGUGGAAACUUUACUGCAAAGACUUCCUCAAACCCUUGAAGAUCACACUCUUCCUGGCAACAAAGAAACAGAGUCGAUAUACGAAGAUGAUUUUACUAACAAGUGAGAGCUUGCAAAUAUUGGAAGGAUAACGAUUGCUCAUAACCCAAAUCCCCAAUACCCUCUAAUAUCUCACUCGAGUGAGUUCAAGCCCCCAAAAUUCACUACAGUGAAACUCUCGAAACAAAAUUCUCUUCAAAUAUUCUCAACUCAAAUUUGAUAAUGAUAUCUCUUGAAGGAAGGCAAAAAAUCUAACACUGAUCAAAUUGGCUUGUGAACAAUUAAUGUUCCUGGCCAUCAUUCAUACUAGGUGUGGCGAACAAUUAAGCUGCUUAGUAUCCUGAACCUGAUAACUUACACAAACAAAAACAACUUGCCUAAAGUUUAAUAUUUAGAGGCAGAACGGUAAAGAAGAAGAUAUAUAUUGAUACUAAAAUUUGACUUGCGUUACCCUGAUGUCAAGAAUAGCGGGAUCUCAUGUGGGCAAAAUCUUCGCAAUACGAGAUGCUUGCAAAAUUGAAGCAGCAUCUUAUCACCUGUAAUUUAAUUAAGAUAAUAACUUUCCCCGACUAUUUCAAUGCAUUAUUGGCAACUAAAUUCAGAGGGCGCUAAUUAAAUACCCUUUUAACAAUAUCUUCUUAUUCUUCUCUAAUCUAGCAGUUAUUUGGAAAAUCUAAAUGACAGUCAUGCAUCAAUGGCGUCAAAAUUUGGCUACAAAGCAGCCUACAAAAGGCUUCACCCUCUGAAUGAGAGCAUGAAUUCGAAUAAUAUGAUGAAUGAAGAAACAAAGGCAUAAUACCACAAGAAGUCAAACUUUUCCCCAGAGCUCUGUUUCUGUUUGUGCUAAAGCAAAUGGAAACCAGUGGAAAUGAAUUUCUAUGAACUAGACAUAUCAGCCAAAACAGGUACUCUGUGCAAGCAAAGUAAAAAAGAGUUACAAACAAAUUUAAGAUUGAUAUGAUAAUUAAAAUUUCAGUCACCAUAUAAUUAAUAGAAAACUUUGUACACAAUGAUUUAUUGCAUAUUAAGAUUGUAUACCUAAAUUUUAAUUGCUAUGCAAAAUAUGAUAUUAGCAUUAGGAGACCGCACCAAAACGUACCGUAUUGAAUGUGCCUUUUCACAACCAUUGUACAAGCUUUGAAGCUUUGGCACAAAUGCUUUUUCAAACCCAUGAACAUGAUGCACCCGAGAGAUGCAAGAUAUGAAAUUGUUACAACAGCAGGCAUUGAAACAUUUGUUAAGAAAGGAAGUUUAUGAAAAUACGCCUUAACAUUCAUUAGAUACAUGUCUUCAGGAAUCAAUUCAUCUGUAAUAACAAUUUUCAAAGAGCAUUAACUGCUUUAAGCCCCUCAACAUCACAGAGAUCUUCAAUUAAAAUAGCGCAGAUCCGGCCAUCACUAUUACUUCUACUGCUCUUUCGCUUUAGAGAACGCUUGAAUUACAGAAUGCAUGUAAGGCUUUCUUGUUUAAGGUCCAGCAAACCUUGCACAAUAACAACAGAGGCAGUGGUUCCAUUGCCAGCCUAAUCCUUGGUCUCACCAAUGUUCUGCACGAGUAGGAAAUCAACCUUAAAAUUAAGAAUGAGUUGCAAAAACUGUUUAUGGCCCUAAAGAACUUGAAAAUCGGAAAUGAUUAAGAAUGAGUGAGUAAACAUUUUAAUCGAAUAAACAUACAAAACUUGAAAACCUAACAUUGAAGUACUCUGAAUGAAUGUGCAAUUGCACGAGCUGGUGACAACUGACUUUACUGCAAAGGCUCUUUCAAACCCUUGGAGAUGAUAAAAAUAAAAAUGCAAUGCUUGAGCUUGAGCUUGAGCUUGUUUUAACAUCAUCAUAGUAGGGAAUUUUGAUAUAUCUUUACUUCUCUGUGGUUCAAUCAUUUACUUCUCUGUUCUUGUUUAUUCACAACAAGAUAUCAAUAGAAGAAGAUGGAAAUGAAAUUCUAUAAAAUAAAGCAAGUGAAUUACCAGCAGAACAUUUUAGCAAUCCUUUGGCUAAACUUUUCAUUUUCUUAGCAUACUCUCCUGCCUGCAUCAUUAAAACCAAAUUAGAUUGGACCUGUGAAUUGCUAGUGUGGUUCUGACAUUUCCUCGAAUCCCUGGUGAACAUAAUUAAACGCGUAUGAAAUAAAACAAAGUGGGCUAAUGUACUACUAAAAACAAUUACACAAUUACUUUAAAGAAUUAAUGUCACAUAAAUUAUAUAUAAAAAAAUAAGAUUAUCAUUAUACAAGAUAAAAUUGAUAAUUUAUUUUUCAACAUUACUGCAAAUGUAUUACAGAGAUUUUGUCUCUCAGGAAGUUACACAUAACAAAUUUUCGUACAUUAAAAAAUAAAUUACAUUGGGAUUUUCUAUGAUGUUGUAUGCAAUUUUACAAAAGAGCACAUAUUUUUUAAAAGUAAAUAAAUAUAGAAAUUUAAACAGACUACACUUGUAUUUUUUUAUUAUUUAAUCUUUAGAAAACAAGUUUAACAGAAUUGAUAACUAGGAAGUUUUACAUAUUAUUUCAUUGCAAGCAACAACGAAGUAAAUCAGAGGAGGAGGAGAAAUUACCGGCGAGUGAUAUCUUACGGCUACCACGUGAUGUGGGGAAUGUGAGAUAUCUUCUCCUUUCCCCUCUCUAUGACGGUUUUCCAAAAGGGGACAUCCCCAAAUUGUCAAUUUCUGCAGCGUCGUCGUUCGAAGGAGGUAAUCCGGCAGCACCUUUAAUUUGGGGCAAUCCCCAAUUAGCAGGGAAGAAAGACGUGGUAUGUCUGUUGUCCUGCGAUCUUCUAGAAUGGGCAGUUCUUCCAAAUUUUUACAAGAAUAAAUACUCAGUUCCUGCAGCGUCGUCGUCCGAAGAAGGUAAUCCGGCAGCACCUUUAAUUUGGGGCAAUGCUCAAUUUCCAAGGAAGAAAGACGUGGCAUGAUGGAGAUGUUUUCCUUCCUCGUAAUCCUGUAAUUCCACUCUUCCAAUUCAUCCAAGAACCAAAUUUUGAGAGAUUUCAAUUUGGGGAAGGCAAUAACUGAUGAUGACGAUGAAGAUGAAGAUGAGUCGUCCUCACCGCUUUCUUUUAUUCCCAAAAACUCAUUACCCACUCUUUUUACACUUUUCAAAUUGCAUAGGAUGAGUUUUUCCGGAGGCAAUUUUCCCAAAGGAGGCAAAUGCUCACAGUUAAAACACAAGGAAAGAUAUAAAUUCCUUAGAUUGGUUAGUAAAGUCAACCAUUUGGGAAAAAUGACGCCUCCAUAGGAUUCAAUCCCUAAUUCCUCUACAUUCAAAGGCGGUUGUAAGGCUUCAAGAAGUUGUUUAUCUUUCUCGUUCUUCCUCCUCCCUUCUUCGCCUUCCCCAUCUACGACUCCACCAAACACAAGACGCAAACGAAGGAGGUUUUUCUUAUUGUAAAGUUGUAACCUCUCAACCUCAUCUACAUGCGAUACAUUACUCAGCCCUUCUAUACUACAUUUACCACGGAGUUGAAGAUUUUUCAGAGAUUCAAGCCUACAUGUGCUGCCGCCAUCAACACCUCCACCCACAACAAACUUUUCUAAUGUUCGAAGGCUGGUCAAUCUGGAAAUCCCUAUUGGAAACUCCUCAUGUUCUUUAACUUCCCAAUCCCGGCUGGCAAUUCUCUAAGAUAUUUGCACCGCCUAAUAUCUAGCUUUUGUAAAUUAUAUAAUUCACACAAAGUCUCAGGUAGUCUCGCUAUAUAUAAUUUAGACAACUUAAGAUAUUAAGAUAUUUUAAAUGUAUCAAUUUUCCAACAUUAUUUGGAAUUUCUGUAAUCCAAUUUGUGCCUUCAUACAAAAGCUUGAUCGAUUGCCUUAUAACUAAUGCCCUUAAACAUGCCAAUUUAUUAAAUAACUCCCGAAGGAUGCUAUUAUUAAGAGACGGAUUGAAAAAACCUUCAUCAUAAAUUAAUAGGGUACGCAAUCUAUUAAGUCCAUAAAUGGUCAUAGGAAAUGAAGCUCCUCCUCCAAAAUUUAACCGUAAGUGACGGACUUUGUCACCAAAAAAUUUUAUGACUGAUUCCUUGGUACCAUUAAUUUCUAGCCACAAACAUUCUUUGCUACUUACAAAUUGGGCAAAAUCAUGUACUAUGUCAUGCAUCUUACAACUCGUGAAAUCAUCAUCGUCCUCAUAUAUUUUAAACUCUUGAAAGAAAGAGUGUGUUGCUAAGAUGUUGAAAUACUCUUCUCCAAUCAUCUCCAUUUCUUCGUCUUCUUCUGCAUUAAGGUAACCUUGAGCCAUCCACAGAUCAAUCAACUCCUCUUUAUCCAUCACGUAGUCUUUUGGAAAGACAGCACAAUAUGAGAAACACCGUUUUACCAUAGAAUUGGAGGGCAAAUCGUUAUAACUCAACAACAAAGGAGCCAAAAGACCUUGCCCAAUCUCUUCUACUUUCCACAUUUCACUCUCUAAAAUUCUUUGCCACUCUUUUACUGUACUUUUAGAGCGCAAGAGAUUCCCUAUUACCUUUGCAGCAAGAGGCAGGCCUUUGCACUUACAUGCAAUUUUUCGCCCGAUUGGUUCUAAUUUUUCACAAUCCUCAAAAGAACGACCGAAAAAUGCUAACUGCUUGAACAAUGACCAGCAUUCCUCUUCAACCAAUUGCUUGAUGGAGAUAAUAUUUGUUGAUCCCAUCAUACGUGCAACUAACUCAUUACGUGUGGUAACCAAAAUUUUACUUCCGUGGAGACCAUUUUUUAGACAACGGAAGAAUGGUUGCCAUUUAUUGUAAUCCCCAUCCCAUACAUCAUCUAAGACAAGAAAAUUUUUUUUUCCUUUAAUUGAACUCUGGAUACGGCUCAUAAGAGAUUGGAAUUCGUUUAAACCAGAAGCUGACUUCCCUAGACCUUCAAUGAUUGCUUUGGCAAUCCUAAUCUGAUCAAAAGUGUCCGAUACACACACCCAUAUAACUUUUUCAAAAUUUCUUUUCACCUCAUCAUUAUUAUAGGCUAGUUGUGCAAGAGUGGUUUUACCUAUACCCCCUAACCCAACCAGUGAAAUGACCUGAAGGCCAUUUUGUUGUUCACUACUUUCACACAACAACUUGCUUAAGAGCUCACUUUUCUCAUCAACCCUACCGCAAACCUCUCCCUCAUCAAUCAAGGACGUGGUUCGCACUCUCUCUGGUUUCUUAACAUUGUUACUCACAUUCUCAACUAAUUUGAAACUAUCUUUUUGUCUGGCAAUAUCAUCUAGCUUUUCACUGAUUUCUCUAAUCUUGACAGCAAUAUCAUGACGAAGACUGAGUUGUUUGAAACCACCAAAGCAGUUUGAGGCAGCAGGAAAGAAGAAACAUACCUUCGUCAAAAAAGUAACAAAAGCACCGUCGUUAUCAUCAUAAUCAUCAUCGCCUCCCUCAUCAAGCUGCAAUUUCCGUGUUUCAGUGAUCCACUCUUCCAACACAUCUUCCAUGUCGUAGGAUGCGUCUCUGAGCUGAUCCAGCCAAAAAGUAACAGCUUUGUCCUGCUUCAUUUGCCUCUGCUCUGCAUCUUCCAGCACAGCUUGAAUGGCUUGAAGAUUGGUGGUAAGCUUUCCCACUUCUUGUUCGACACCCGUCACAAGCCUCCACUUUUCUUUCACCUGAUCUUGAGCAAUGGAUUUCAGCUGGUCCAGGAGAGGGGAAACGAUCGCAUGAGCCAUUCUGAUAUUAGAUCAAAUGGUAAAUGCUGCAAUUGCUUUUCUUUCUAAACUGCUCAGAGGAAAGUAGCUUUUAUGUAUUCUGUGAGAAUGCUCAUUCAACCAUGUUUGCAUUCUUCUUAUACUAAUAGGAGAUUUAAUUUUUACCCUCAAGUCAAUGUCAAUGUGAACGUUCUUUUGUGCUGCAAAUUGAAGGAGUCCCCACAGGAGUCACCGUCGUGGUUACUUGCUGCUCUUAAGAUAAUUAGUAACAAAAUAUUUGUAAACUGCAACAAAAAGCUCAGUGCAAUCUAUCUAUGAAUCUUGUGAGUUCACAUAUAAUACAGUCGAUUUAGAAUAGUCAUAAAUUUUUUUUAUUAUAAAUAUUAGUAUAUUUUUAAUGGUAUAAUAUAUAUCGAUGAAACUAUAUAGAGUAAUUUCGCCUAAUUGUAUAAAUUCAUUACGAAUAUCAUCACAAAUUUGUAUUUGGUCGGGACCGUGCGAGUGAAAUUUUUGAUAAAAUCGUCUCCUGACAAUUUAUUUAUUAUAUUCCAUUCCUUUUAUUAUCAGGUAGGCCAAAGCCAUUUGGACAUUUGAAAAAGUAUGUGAUUCUGUUUUAGUCUAUUAUGUCACGACAAAAAGAGAAUUGGAAAAUGUAACAUUCUCAAAUUAAUUUGUAGUGGAAAAGAGAAAAAUAAGACAAAAGUUGGAAAAAUCAUGCAGCCGACCCUUUUUUUUAUCUGAUUGCGCAAUAUUAGGUAGGCGAAUGCGACUUCAUCGAUAUCACACAGCAGUGGUUCUGUCAUUAAUUUUUUUCUUUUAUUUAAUUAAGAAAAGGAAGAAAAGAUAGCACAUGUUAUGAUUAUUGUGAAUUUUCCAUCCCUUAUAUAAAUUCUCAAAUUUAUUUAAAUUGUGAGUCAUAGAAGUAUAUUACCUAAACUAUUUUAUCAGGCCAUGUUCGGAUACUAGGAUUAAGUAUGGAAUUGGACUAAUUUUGUGAUUAUAUUUUAUAUCAAAUUUGGUAAGCUUAAUUGAAUUGGACUAAGGGACUAAAUUUAAGUUUAAUCCUAAAAUUAUGGGAUUAAUAAUCCUAAUUUACACAUUCCUUUAGUUGGGACUUGGGAUAAGAUUAAAGAAAAAAAGUUAUCCAUUUAUGAGACUUUAAUUUAUGUCAUUAUUUUUUAUUUAUACUUAAUAUUAAUUAAUUUAUUAAUUUAUUUUUAAUUUAUGAUUUACUUAAAAUUUAUUUUUAUUUAUUAUCUAUUAUCUGGUUAAAUUAGAACUUUACUUCUACUAACUCUUGCGAUUAAUUUUUCAUUACUUGCGUAUUUGAUAAUUUGCCAAUAAAAUUAACCAUUUAAUAAUUUCUUGCAUUAUUGAUUGUAUUAAAUUUAAUAAUCACUAAUAUAAUAUUAAAAAUAAUCAUGAAAAUUAAUAAUACCUUCAAUUAAUUGAUUUUAUAUACUUUUUUUAAAUAUUUGAUAAGAAGUUGAUAAAAAUUAAUUAAGGAUUUAAAAUUUUAUUCAUUUUUUAUUUAUUUAUUUUAUCAUGAAUACCCAGUAUCUUACAAUAUAAUUAAUUUUCUUAUUCAGACUACUCAGCAUCAGCUCCUGUAAAAUUUCUUACAUUAUAAGCAACAAAAUAUUUAUAAACUACAACAAAAGGCUUAGAUCAAUCCACCGAUGAACCUUUUGAAGUUAUAUAUAAUAUAUUAAUUGUUGAUCUAGAAUAGUCUUAGUGGAUAGAUUUUUUUAAUUAUAAAUAUUAAUAAAUUUUUUAUCGUUUAAUAGAUAUUGAUGAAAUUAUAUGGAGUAAUUUCGCCUAAUCAUAUUAAUUCAUUAUGAAUUUCAGCACAAAUUUGUAUGUGAUCGAUCUGGACCGUGUAAGUGAAAUUUAUUUACUAUAUUUUUCAACUUGGCCGACAACAUCUUUUUGUCAGGUAGGCAAAAGCAAAAGCCAUUAUCUCAUUAAUUGAUUUGGUCAUUUGAGAAUGUAACUCUAUUAUGCCGUGACAAACUCCAAGAUCUAAUUUAGAGAGCGACCCAAAUAAUGGUAAUUAGUAAUUUAUUACAUCUGCAGUUAGAUAGAUACUUUGUCUGGGAAAAAAAUAAAAUCAGUUUUAUAAUGAUUUUAAUUAAUUCAUUUGGUCAUUUGAAAAAGUUGUGGCUCUGUUUUAGUCCAGUGUCAAUAUAUAACUUUAUUAUGUCAUGACAAACUUUAAAAUUUAAUUUAGAGUGUGACUCGAAUAAUUUUAAUUAGUAAUUUAUUAUAUCUACAGUCGGAUACUUUGUUGAGAAAAAAAAAAAUAAAAUCUGUCCCAUAAUGAUUUUAAUAAAUAUCAUACUAUUGUCUACGGACUUACCUCAUAUUACAAAGAAUUAAAAUAUGCGAAAGAUAACUAAGGAAUAAAAUUUUUCCACAAUGAUUUAUAAAAUUGCUUUUGAAGAACGGUUAUGAUAUUAUAUUAAAUUACUAAGAAUUUAGUUAACCUCUCAAGAAGUCUAUUUGGUUGACUUCUCGAGUUUAAAAUUCGAAUGUCAAAAAAGAUAAAAGGUUAAAAAAAUAUUUUAAAUAUUAUCCACCCUUUUACUAUUUUAAUAUACAAAAAGAAGAAUUACUUGUUUUUAACAAUAGCAACCGGGGGCAUAAUAUAUCUGAUGGAUUUUUUUAAGGAACAAAACUUAUUAUAUCUCCUAUCAAAAAUGUCAUUUUUGUUAGUAAAAGGAUAUCUAUAUCUCCAAAUUUUGGAAAAAUGGUUACCAGCGCUUCCAAGUCCUAAAUUUUCAAAAAGAGACACUAAAACUCAUUUUUUACUACAAUACCCUUUACUUUUAUUAUCCCAAAAGUUAACUUUAAUUUUUUUUAUAAUAAAUAGAAAUAUAAUAUUAAAAUAAAUGUAUUAAAAUUUAAAUUAUUAUGAAAAAUAAUAAUUUUAAUAUUAUUAGUAUAUGAGACUUUUUUAAUUGUAAAAUGUAUUUAAUGCAAAUAUUUAUUUAAAAUCUCUAGAAUAAAUACAAAUAUAUUAUUAAAAUAAAUAUAAUAAUUUACAUAUUUAAAUUUAUUUUAAUAUUAUUAAUCUACUACAUAGAUUACAUUAUUUAUAUAAUAUUUGUGUUUACUAAAAAUUUGCAAGUUAAAUUUUUCGGGAUACUAAAGGUAAAGAGUAUUAUGGUCAAAAGAGAGUCUUGAUGUCAUUUUUAGAAAACUUGGGGUGUUGGUGACUAUUUCUCCAAACCAUGGGGAUAUAGAUAUCCUUUUCUCUUUUUUAUUUUAAACAAGUGGUGACUAAAGAUUAAACUGUCAUAUAUUCACAAGAUAUUCACCACAAAAUUUGUAGGAAAUUUCUUCUUCCCUAAGCGGAAAAUACAAAACAAAAACAUAAUUGGCAAUUUCACUAGCAAAACUAAUAAUACUUUUGUUCCAUAUCCAGGGGUAGAGCUCGGGGUAAAUCUUCAUGACGCCCAAAUUCAAAUUUCAAGUGUUAGCUGGGAAUUAAUUUUAGACAAUUUUAUUUAUUUAUUUAUAGCUAGUAUGUAAUUGUUAGGUAUUUCAAAAUUUGAGAAUUUUGUGAUUCUGUGAGAAUGUUGAUUCAAGCAUGUUUGCAUUCUUCUUAUAAGUACCAUAGGAGAUAUUUAGUUUUUACCCUCAAGUCAAUGUCAAUGUGAACGUUGUUUUGUGCUGCAAAUUAAAGGAGUCCCCACAGGAGUCACCGAUUUGCUUUGAGAAUUUUGAGAAUUAUGUUUUGCGAGUGAAAUUGCCAUUUUGUCAUAAUGGAAUUUUGCUUUCUGAUCAAUAAUUGAGAAUUUUGCUUGUAGCUACAGGCUGCAGCGAUUUUGAUUUGACGGCUUUGAUUCAUAAUUGAAGUUACUGUUGCAAGUAAAAACUAAAAAAAUUAACAAAAUAAAAAUCAAAGACUUAGGUCCAUGUUGCAAGUAAAAACUAAAAAAAUUAACAAAAUAAAAAUCAAAGACUUAGGUCCAUGUUUUAUCAAAAUUUUAAUAAAAGGCUAUUUGUCAUUUUGUCAUAAUGGAAAAAUGAUUAACAAAAUAAAAAAAUCGAAUUUACUUGAUUUUAUUUUACAAAAUAUAAAUUAAAUUUCUAUUAUAUGUAUAAAGUUUAUACAUCAAGUGCUUAGGGGUCAAAUCAAUCUUUUUAUACCUAAUUUUUAAUAUUUUACUUCGAAACCUCAAAAAUUUUUAAAGUUUGUUGGGUCACAAUCCCCGCUAGGAGUGGGCAAAUUUGUGUUCAUAUCAACUUGAAUAGGUUUUGGGUUGAUUAGGCUAGAACUGGAUCAGAUCAAAAAGUAUGAGAGAAAUUAAUUGAGCUUCUCCCAAGAAAAAUACAUACAGAUGAUUGAUAUAUAACCAUUAAAUAAUAAAUAUGUUAGACUUACAUUUAUUUUUUAGCCCUAAAAGUAUGAAAAAAUUAAUACUUUCCGAAUUUAUUUUUUGUACCGUAAAGAAUCAAAUUACUCACAAAAUUAUUUUUAACUUUCAUCAUGCAAACAAACAAAUCAUCAUCAAUUUCAAUAGAAAGAAGUAGAAUAUGAUGUAUUUAGGACUUCCUACUCUAUUAGCUAGGUUAAUAACAUGUUAAUUGUCACAUCAUUAAUUUUAGAUUAUAAAUUUUAUAUUCAAACUUUGUAUGACUGCUCCUUUUUCAAUGAUCUAAUGUUAGAGUGCAAUUUAUGCACUAGUUUUGCAUUGUUUACUUCCUUUAAUAUUGAUAUUUUACACUUAAUAAUAGUGAUUUACUUGUAUUUUAUUUUUGUAGGUGCAAUUCUAUUGAUUGGUGCUAAAAUUGAGAUACAAGAUGAUGUUUAAGGAUGGUUGUUCUCUUGGAUAAAUUAUGAGUGUCAGAAGAACUUUGUUGAUAAGGCGUGGGCGCGUGCUGUCAACUACGGACCUGCAGUUUUUAGUUUAAUGUGUUUUGUAUUUUUGGUUAUUUUUGUAAUUAUGAAUUUAAUGUUUCAGAUAUUAGUAUUUUAUUUUAAAUAGAACUCUAGAGGAGAAGAGAGGGAGAGUAUUUAAGGGAGGAAUCUAUUGUGAAAAAUGUGAGAGAUUGGAGAAAAAGAAAGAAACCCUAGAUCUAAACUUUUCUCUUCUCUCUAUGAAGAACUAAACCUAUUUUUCUAGUUGAAGGUUAAUGAAGCUUUGAUUCAUCACUACUGUGAGAUCUUUCUUAUGCUUUAAUUGUUUUAUUGCUUUUUGGGUAUUUGUUUAUUUUUUGAAUUAUUUUCAUGAUUAUGUUUGUUAAUUAGGUAAUUGGACACUAUUUAAUUAUCAACUUAAUCUAUUGUCAAUUCAAUGAUUCAUCGUAUGAAGAUUUUAAUGUUUGUGACAAAUAACAUAGCAGUGAGUUGUAUUAUGAGAAUAAACAAUCUAAUUUAAAUGAACCAUCGUAUGUGUUUGUUGAUUAGGAUUUGGGUCUCUCUGGUUUUUCAGGCUGUCAAUUGAUAUAAUCUUAUGAUUGUAUUUAGGGUUGUCUAUUGAUUAGGGAAAUAACCAACGGUCGUACCUUGGUUAUCGACUAGUUAAGGAGAGAUUGGCUAUUAGAGGGUCUCAGUAGCUAUAACCGGUGUAUUCAUAAGUAGUAAUAAUUUAUAUUUGAAUCAAUGAUUAGUAGUCGAAUCAAGCUCAGUUAAUUCCUUCAACCAAAGCUUUCUCCAAUUUGAAUUACAACUUUAAUUUGCAUUCUAGUUAUUUUAAUUUGAUUUCUAUUAUUGUCAACAACUCCCCCAUUUUACGUUUUACAUUUUAAAAGGAUUUAAAUAAUUACCGAUCUCUGUGAACACGACCCUGCUCAAUCAUUAUACAUAAUUUAUUUAGAGUAUGUAUUUAUUUUUGCUGUCUUCGACAAUCAUCAAAUUUUGGCGCCGUUGCCGGGGAUUGGUGUCGUUUAUUUAAUCCUUUUUACAUUUUACUUGGUGUAUGGUUCAUUCUUCUCGUACAGGUACACUUUCGUUUGAUCCUGAAAUUGAGAAGACAGCUCGCCAGCUGAGACAGCAGACGAAGCAAGCUAAGCAACGAUUCUCGUCGCCUUUGCUUUUUGAAACAGAUACAGUGUCUGAUUUGAUUGAAUCAUCUAGCGAUUCAGAAGAACAAGUGAUGGAUAGAGCUGCACCUGUAGAAAGAACUCUUAAAGAGUUAGCUGAACCAGACUUGAAUCAGCAACCACUCUGCAUUCAAUAUGUAGACUUGGAGGUAAAUUUUGAAUUAAAGUCUGGUCUUAUUAAUUUAUUACUCAAGUUUCAUGGUUUUGCAGGUGAAGAUCAUCAUAAACAUCUCAAGGAGUUUCAUGUUGUGUGCUCAAGUAUGAGGCCACAAGGCGUGACUGAAGAGCAGAUUAAGCUGUGUGCUUUUCCGUUCUCUGCAGAUGGGCUAGCUAAAGACUCGUUGUACUACUUGCCUCCUGGAUUGAGUACAACGUGGAAUGGUUUGAAGAAGCAGUUCCUUGAGAAGUACUUUCCUGCUUCAAGAGCUGCCAACAUCAGAAAAGAUAUUUGUGGGAUCAGACAACUUCCUGGGGAGAUUUUGUAUGAGUAUUGGGAGUGAUUCAAACAAUUGUGUGCCAGCUGUCCUCAGCAUCAGAUUUCUGAUCAACUUCUUAUUCAAUAUUUUUACGAAGGACUGUCAUUGAUGGAUAGGAGUAUGAUAGAUGCUGCUAGUGGAGGCGUGUUGGUGAACAAGACCCCUACUCAAGUAAGGGAGUUGAUCUCAAAUAUGGCUGCCAAUGCACAACAAUUUAGCAGCAGGCAAGAUCCCACUUCAAAGAAGGUGAAUGAGGUAAAUAUUUCUUCUGUUGAACAACGUUCAGAUAAACUUACUUCUCUUGUGGAAAAGUUUGUUUUAGGUAAUGUACAAUAGGUGAAGACUUGUGGCAUCUGUUACAAUAUGGGUCAUUCAACUGAUAUAUGUCCUACGCUUCAAGAAGAACCCGUUGAACAAGCCAAUGUAGUUGGAGGAUUUCCAGGCAAGCCUCAGAAGAGGUAUGAUCCUUAUGCACAAACAUACAAUUCAGGGUGGAAGGAUCAUCCCAACUUCAACUAUGGAGUUAGGCCGUCAGGAUUCCCACAACAGUAUCCACCAAGACAACCAGCACCUCCACAGUCAAACUCCAAGUCAGGUAUAUCUCUUGAAGAAAUUGUUAAAUCACUUGCAACUAACACUCAACAAUUUCAGCAGGCAACUACAGCAAGCAUUCAGAAUUUGGAGAACCAAAUGAGUCAAUUGGCCACUACAAUGAGCCGUCUGGAGUUUCAAGUAUUAGGGAGAUUGCCUUCACAAUCUGAGGUAAAUUUAAAGCAAAACGUUAGUACUGUCAUCCUUAGAAGUGGGAAGGAGUUACAAGAGCCUAGUAAGAAAGUGACAAAGCAUGUAGAAGAUGAGCUUGAGAAGAAUGAAUUGAUGCCUAAAUCUCAAGAUGCGCAACCCACCAAAGCGAAACCCCUACCUAUUGUGAUACCUCCUCAUUUUCUAAGCCGGUUUGUAAAAUCCAAGAAGGAGGAACAAGAGAAAGACAUCCUUGAGACAUUUCGCAAGGUUGAGGUAAAUAUUCCUUUAUUAGAUGCUAUAAAACAAAUACCUCGAUAUGCUAAAGUUCUUAAGGAACUGUGCACCUCCAAGAGAAAAUUAAGAGGAGAUGAAAAAGUUCACAUGGGGGAGAAUGUUUCAGCAGUUCUCCAAAAGAAAGUACCUCCUAAGUGCAUGGAUCCAGGUAUGUUUACUAUCCCUUGUAAAAUUGGUAGUGUUAGAGUUGAAAAUGCUAUGUUAGAUCUAGGAGCUUCUAUUAAUGUCAUGCCUCGUUCCAUUUAUUCAUCUUUGAAUGUUGGUCCAUUGAAAAAAACUGGCAUGAUAAUUCAACUAGCUGAUAGGUCUAAUGCAUAUCCUGAUGGGGUAUUAGAAGAUGUCUUAGUACAAGUUCAUGAGUUGGUUUUUCCUGUUGAUUUUUAUGUACUUGAUAUGGAAGAGGAUAACUCCUCUAAUUCUUUCCCAAUUUUGCUAGGAAGACCUUUUCUUAACACUACUAGGACUAAAAUGGAUGUACAUAAAGAGACUCUCACUAUGGAGUUUGAUGGAGAGGUUAUAGAAUUCAAUAUGAAUGAUGCCAUGAAAUAUCCUAAUGAGAAACAUUCGGCAUUUUUUGUGGAUGUUAUUAACCCUAUAAUGCAGGAAGUUUUUUACAAGGAAAAGACGAAGAAAUUUCAUGAUAGAAUGAUUUUGAGAAAGGAGCUCUCUGUUGGUCAAAAAGUUCUUUUUUAUUCUAAGCUUAAACUUUUUCCGGGUAAAUUACGUUCUUGCUGGGUUGGACCUUUUAUUAUUACUAAUGUUUUUCUUCAUAGUGCAGUUGAGAUUCGGAGUCCGACCUCUGACAAAGUUUUUAAGGUUAAUGGUCAUUGGUUAAAACCUUUUUAUAAAGGUUUUUCGGUGAAUAUUGUGGAGGAUAUGGCUCUCAAGAGUCCCAAUUAUGGAGAUUGAUGCAUAAAUGUGUCUAACCAAAGACAUAAAACAAAGGCGCUUUUUGGGAGGCAACCCAAAUGAUUUAUUUAUUUUGGUUUUUGUUAUAUCUUCUUUUCAUUUUGAUUCAGAUUUUUUAAAAAAAAUAAUGUGUUUGCUUAUUUUGGCCAGAAGAAAAUGUUUGAUAAGGCGUGCCCACGUCUUAACUAAUAAGUACUUCUGUGAUUUUUAACGUAAAAUGGUUUUAAGGCGUGCGCACGUGCUUAUUAAAAAAGUACUUCUGAAAUUUUUAGUGUCUCAAGUGAUACAUCACUAAAAAAAAAAUUAUUUUAUUUAUUUAUUUAUUUGAAAAUUAAAAAAAUAAAAAAAGUUUUUUUUCUUUUCUUUCUUUUAUAUUUUUAUUUAUUUGAAAAAAAUUUAAAAAAUGAAAAAAUAAAAAAAAAGUUUUUUCUUUUUUUCUUUUAUAUAUUUUAUUUAUUUAUUUAUUUGAAAAAAAAUUUAAAAAAUAAAAAAAUUUUACUGUUCACAAAAUCCCUAAUUCACAGAAUUAGUGUUCUUCUCCAGCCGCUCCAGCCUUCACCGAGCAGCCACGCAGCACCAGCUCCAUCCCCAGCGCGCAGCAUCAUCCCCAGCCCGCGCGCAAGCAACCAGCCCCAACCCGCGCAGCACAACCAUCUGCGAAUAACCUGAACCAACAGCCGUGUACCUGCAAGCUCCAGCCGAGCAGCAACCAUCCGCAGCCGGCCUACGCCCUGCAUUCUAGCCGCGUGAAUCAAAAUCCGUGAGUUCAAUUAUUGUAACAAUGCCGAAGAGGAAAGCAUCAACUUCCAAGUCAUCUAAAAAGACACUCGUCGCAAAGAAAUCCAAGAUUUCCGCUCCCACUACGGUUCCAUGGAACACAGUUUUAGAUUCACGCCAAGCCGUGAGAUAAAGAUCGAAACAUGGAAAAGGCAUGAGUGUUUUGCCACUUGCGGAAUCCAAUCUCAGAGGGUGCCUCACAUUCACGACUCAACAAGAGAAAGAAAUGUACAAAGAUAUUUCCAAGCGAAAAAUACUUCCAGCUAAGUAUAUUCAUUACCCGACUCUUGAAAAAUUGAAUGUCAAGAAUAGUUUUGAUUCUUUGAUAGAUAAGAUUGGUUUGCGUAAGUUUGUUGAUGUUGAUUGUUUGGGUUAUGUUGAGUUGAUUAGGGAGUUCUAUGCUACUUUUCAAUUUAAUAUACUGAAUGAUUUUACUUUGCAUACCUCAGAUGUUAUAAAGUUUAGGUUAAUGGGACGAAAUUUUUCACACUCUAUCACGGAUUUUAACCUAGUUUUAGGAUUCAUUGAUGAUGAUUAUUCUUCUAGUGAUGUAUAUUUAGGGACAACUUGUGACUUUAGCGAAAAUUUUGAGCCUUAUGGUCUUUGGCGUAAUUUAUCUGUUGAUCACAAUGCCUAUGACCCAAGUAAAUCAAAGAGUUCUUUCUUACGUGAUCCUGUUUUGAAAUGUAUGCAUCGGUUCUUAGCAUAUAAUUUUUUAGGAAAGAAAGAUCACUCAAGAGUUUUCUCUAAAACUGAGUUUUGUUUUAUCUGGUGCAUAUUAAAUGAUGUGAGGCCUAACUUAGGUUUUUGGUUAGCAGAUCAAUUUCAAAGUGUGCUUAAACGGUAUAGGACUUUAUUUCUUGGUUCAUACAUUACUCUGUUAGUUAUAAACUUAUGUGUGCUUGAUCAUGACAACAAUGAUUUAUAUCCUGCUUGCAAAAAGAAAUUUUUGGAUAUGUCUGUGUUUGAAAGAACAGGUGUGGUCGAAUUCAAGGAGGGGAAAUUUCAGUUUACUGAACCAGGACCCACCCAACUUCCAAAGAAGUUUUAUACUAGGAGUGGUGCUACCUCUGAUGACGAGUUUGACGACGAAACUGCGGCCCCACCAACUAUUCCUUUUACAUCCGCACAACCUUUGAGCAUUCAGUUAGAGAAAAUGGAGCACAAGCUGAACAAGAUGGAGCAGAAUUUGGCCUCAUACUUCGAGAGUGUGGGAUUUAUCCCACCAUUUCCACUAAGCCCAUAGACGUUAUGAGGAUCAAAGCUCACAAUUCAGGAAAGUUUUCGCCUUUAAUCUUUUAUCCUUACGCUUUAAUUUUUAUGUGAGCUUUGAUUAUCUUACAUUGGGGACAAUGUAAGUGUCUGUCAAUGACAAAUUUAACCCACUACCACCAUUCAUAAUUAACCAAAAUCAAAUAAAUUAAAAAAGAAAACACAAAACAAGGAUAACUACUAGUUGUUUUGAUCAUCCUUGCUUCUUUUUCUUAGCAUAGCUCUUGUAAUGAAAAUUAACAAAAAGGGCCAAAAGGGAAGCAUUAAACACAGUAUUGAAGCACCAACCCCAAAACCCAGGGAAACCAAAUCCCGUGAAAUGAUAAUUCAGCAUCAAAAUGAAAAAUGUUAUGGAUGGCUGUGAUGGGUCUGAGGAUGUGGGGUCCAAUGAGAGGUGAUGAUGAUGGUGAUGUUGAUGUUGAUGUGUGGUAGAGGAUGGAUGUGAGGGAGAGGUAAGUAAUGAUGGAGUGAAUGAGGAUGUGUGGGAAGAAAGCUAGGGUUUGGUCUUGAGUCCACGUGAAGUUGAAGACUUGUGGGUGGCUUACAAGCAAUAAUGGAGUGUUAAGCUGAUUGAAUUUGAAGCCAUGGCUGGUUUUGGGGGAAGAUUGAUUUGGGAGAGAUGAUGGUCAGAGGAAUGGGGGAGUUUAGAAAGUUUGGGAUAUUGUGACGGGUGUUUUAGGCAUAUUUUUUCGUCUUAGCUUAAAUUUUUGUUAAAAAAAUGAUAAAUUCUUUUCUCAUAUCAAUUUAAAACUCCGAGUAUGUUUCCAAUUCUUCUUCUAUAGUGUCUAGACCUUUGUUUCAACGGCAUCUUUGGACGCGGGUUUCUUCUUUUUUGGUUAUUUCUUCUCAAACUUGUGCAGAUUACAUGCACUCAACGUGGAACCCUUUUGAAUGGAAGUUACUGUUUUGCUGGAAUCGGGACCAAUUUUUUGACAAAAAUUUCGCUAUAAAAUAUACAAUUAAAGUCGAGUAAGAUUAAGUAAAGUAACAUCUUGUAUGGUAAAGUACAUCGAGUAAGGAUUUCUAUAAUCGAGCUAGAAAGUAUAAUUAAAAUUAGAUAAGAGUGCCGCGGAGCAUUGUUUUAAAGUUACAGUAUCAAAGUAUUUAAUAAAUAUUUAUUAUUGUGACUUAAAAAUUAAGUUGGGAGUACAAAAAAAUCAAUAAUACAUUUAUUAAUUUUGUCAAAAUUAUUAUUUAAAAAUCAUAUAUACAAUACAAGAUCAACAAUUAUAUUAUAGCUUCAGUUCCUUUUUCACAAUAACUAUAACUACAACACGGUAGUACUAAAUAGGAAGUCGAGUAUGAUCAAGUAAUUACAUGUUAUGGUUUUUUGGUAUUACAUGAUUCUUCAAACUGAAAUUUGCGAUCAAAAUUGUAUCAAAGAAAUCACAGAGACACUCUGUUUGACAAAUCUGCAGUAGAAUUUGCACAAUUUAACUGGAUUGCAGAGAGUGAAUAAGAUUCCAAAGCAACAGGCAAUUAUUGUUAUUAAGAAAACAAUUCAUCGCUAGAACAAAAUUAACUUUUCUAACAUACUAGAAUUUAACUGGAGAAAAAUUGGAAUAUACGACGUUGUAUCACAUAUAGUAUUUAGACAUCAAGAAAAGAAUCCCUCUAUUAGUGAACUAUACUUGCCAGGAAACACGGUGAAAUACCACUACCUCCCUACUAGAUUAAUGCAGCAAAAUUGGGCAAUUGACUUGAUUAACUCCAAGAAAUUUACGCAGUCACAUUCUUCCGGACUAUCCUCUUUCUUCGCACUUUAGGAGCUGUUGUUUCCCCUUACAGAGUCGACAUUCCCUUGUUUGAUGCCAAGGAGCCCAAGCCCAGAGCCAAUGGCAUUCUUUGGUAUCAACCACUUUGGGAACUUUUGAGUUGAGCCAUUGACAUCCUGAGACGGCCUGUUGUGAGCCUUCUUCAAAAGGUCAUCUGACUGAAGUAGCGGAUCCGCUUCCACUCCUAGCCAAGCAAGCCUUGAUCUUUCUCCUAAUUGGACAUUAAGAACCCUGCAUGGAAUCCAUUUGAGAAGUUGAACAAUAGACAAAGUCCAACACAUAUAGGCAGUAAAGAAGAAUUUGGACAGCAAUUACUGACUGUUUAUGCACAGGGCUGAACAAAUGGGAAUAUUAAGGCACUUAAAAGUUGGAACCAUAUUCACCACUUGUAUUUCCUCAGAGAACUAUCUCAGAGUUCUGUUAAUUUAAAACCAUUCUAACGUAUUUAACUACAAAACUAGAGAAAUCGUACUUCUGUAGCGGAGUCUCACUAUUGUUAAGGAUCUAGACUUGGAAAGUAUGCAAGUUGAUUAGGUAAAGAAAAAUUGAAAUAAUACUUGGUGAUAGAUCAACACACUUCAAUAGAAACCACACUAACAUCAUAUCAGACAAAUAAACAGAUUCCCCGAGUCAAAGUUUAACAAACAAAACAUUAAAACAAGGAUAAUUUGGUACGACCAGAAUAGUCUAUCAAUGUAUAUAGAGAGGGAGAGACCUCAAAGCAGCGCUUAAGAACAGUGCUACUCCAAUAACAUCAAUAUGGUUGAUGACCGCUCUAUCAAAUCCAUUGGAAAUCGUAUACUUAUAAUUUUUUUUUUCAAACUUUGUCUAAAAUAAAUGAAUGAGAUAAGAUAAAUUCGAAUAAAUUAAUCUGCAUAAUGACACAAGAAACAAAUGUAAAUUGACCACAAGUAGAAAUAUACUUUUGUUAUCUUCCAAUUUCUUUCCCUUGAGCUCUGUUUCUGCGAGUGCUCAAAAGCAAGACACGGGCCUUGUUAAGAGUAUAGCUGAAGCUGGUGACGUGUAUAAGCUGCUGAUGAAGCUGCUGAGCUGGCUGGCUAGUGAUGUGUAUAAAUUGAAGGUGCUGAGCUGGAUUGGGUUGUUGUUUACACCAACUAAAGCUGUAACAGAUUAUCCAGCUGGCUUGUUAUGAUUGGAAAUUAGAUUAGUUUGUUAAUACAGCAAACGAUUAGCUCUGUUUUAGUAGUUAGCCUUGAAUGUAACUAUAAAUACUGGCUAACACGUUUUCAGUGUUAAGCUUGAGUUUUAAUCAAUAAAAAUCAAUUCAGUUAAAGUUUCUUUGUUAAUUUUCUUUCACUUUCUCACUUGCCAAACAACCUAUUAAUUCUAAAAGGCCUCAAGAUAUAAUUAUCAUCAUCAAUCUUUUGCAGCCACAUGCAGUACUUGGAAAAUGUUUAUGGCCCUAAAUAACUGGAAAAUCAGAAAACAUUAAGAACAAGAGACUAAUCAUUUUAAUCGCAACAAAACAUGCACACUAUGAAAAUAUAAAAUUGAAUUACUUCGAAUGGAUGUGCCUCUUAACAGGAAUUGCACAAGCUAAUGAGCAAGUGAGCCUUGAACAGUUAUCACUCAACUCAAACUAAAAUGAAAUUACUGUGGACAUGUGAAUUAAAAAUAGAUGUAAAAGUAGUUUUCUCAAAGCAAAGUCAAGAUAAGAGAUUAACUCUGCUCCGUAAUUACAUUAAAAAUAACAAACAAUGAAAAACAGAGCUAGAGAAGAACUUACCUGUGCGUUGAGACCAUGUGGGGAAUGUGAGAUAUCUUCUUAGAUUUGGUUUGAGAAACCCUGCCAAUUAAAAUUUCGGUCCCCAUGUAGCAGAAUUUCUUAUUUUUCCUUUGUACACAAAUGCAGACACUUAAGCAAAUUAAGAUUUCUUAUCUAAAGCAAAUUAGGAUUUCUUUUGACCCUGCAAAUUACAAUUUCAGUCCCCAUGUAAUAGGAAAAUUUUGUACACAUAUUUAUAGCAAAUUAAUAUUUCAUACCUCACAAUAUUUAUCAGAACCAUCAAUCUUUAGAAACCACAUGCAGACUUGGUAAACUGUUUAUGGCCCAAAAUAACAGGAAAAUUAGAACAGAUUUUUAAGAAUGAGCGACUAAAUAUUUCAAUGGCAACUAAAAUUACACAUCUUGGAAAUCUGAAACUCAAGUACUCAGAACACUGUUAGUGCAUUGCAUAAGUCAAUUGCAUAAUCUUGGGUAAAAAUUACGCAGCAAUUAAACAAGCUGGGAACUUUAGUGCAAAUGCUUUUUCAUAAUCUUCAAUUGCAUAAGUCAGUUAGAAUCAAUCUUUCUUAAUCUUUCAAUUCACAUAUGAGAGCCUGAUAACACAAGGAAACACUGUAAGUGAAUUGUCAACUGUGACAAAUUUUGGGUAAAAAUUAUCAACUGUAGUUAUCUGCAUAACAUUUAGUGUCAACCCCAAAUUCCUUACUGAUCCGUGGAAGCAUUUCAGCCCACAGACGGUUAGCUUUGUCAAUAUACGGCAACUCAGGAUUCUAUAUUUAAACUAUGAUGUUUGAUGACUUGCUGAUACAAAAGACAUUGCCCCAAGCACUUUUUUACAUUAGCUAAAAUCAAGCCAAUCACUUCCAUUUGUUGCAGUUUUAAUGCAGAAAGAAAAAGGUGGGGAAAAAAUCUGCAAGAUGCCACUUGUAAUACCGCAUGUUCGCAGAAGCAGAGUUAAAUAAUUACAAAAUUACAUUCUUUAUGAAAGCUUGCGAUUAUUGGGAGAGCUCUACUCAAAUUUAAUGAGAUAUCUCUCAGAAGGGAGAGCUCUAAUAAUAUAUAAAGCCAAAAAUCUGACACUCAUCAAAUUGGCUUGUGAACAAUUAAUCUUCCUUGCCAUCAUAAAUGCCAGGUGUGGUGAACAAUCUUCAUUCUGACAUUUGCCUUAAUAAGCUGCUUAGUAUCCUUAACCUGAUAACUUACACAAACAAAAACAACUUCACUAAAGUUUAUUCUUUAAAGGCAAAACAGUAAACCAGAUGAUGUAUGCUGAUACAAAAAAUUGACCUGAGUUAUCCUGAUGUCAAGAAUCACAGAACCUCACGUGGGCAAAAUCAUCGCAAUACAAGAUGCUGAAUUCAAGCAACAUCUUAUCACCUGUAAUUUAAUUAAGACAAUAACUUUCCUCAACUAUUAGCCUUCUCAAUUUCAAUGUAUUAUUGGCAACUAAAUUCAUAGGGGACGCAGCUAAUUAAAUGCCCUUUUAACAAUAUCUUCCCCACCUAACAAUUAUUUGGAAAAUCUAAAUGACAAUCAUGCAUUGAUGGCAUAAAAUAUUGGCCACAAAGCUGCCUACAAAAAGGCUUUAAAUUCUUAAUGAGACAACGUAUUCGAACAAAUAUGGUGAAUGAAGAGACAAAGCAUAACACCUCAAGAAGUAAAGCUCUGUUUCUGUAUAUGCUCAAACCAAUGGAAACCCAUGGAAAUGGAUUUCUACGAAUUAGACAUGUCAGCCAAAACAGGUACUCUGUACAGGCAAAGUAAAAGAGAGUUACAAAAAAUUUUAAGAUAAUUAAACUUUUAAUAACCAUAUAAUUAAUAGAAAACUUUGUACACAAUGAUUUAUAUGAGAUUAAGAUUGUAUACCUAAGUUUUAAUUGCAAACUAAAUAUACACAACAUGAUAUUAGCAUUAGAAGACUGCACCAAAACGCACCGAAUUGAAUGUACCUCUUAACGGCCAUUGUACAUGCAUUGAAAGUUUACCGCAAAAGCUGUUUCAAACGUGAUGCAUCUUAGAGAUGCAAGAUGAGAAAUUGUUAUUACAACUAGCAUUGAAACAUGUGUGAAAACUGUUAAUGGACCUAAAUAACUUGAAAAUCAGAAAAGAUUAGGAAUGAGUGACUAAGCCUGCUAAUCGCAACUAAACGUGCAAACCUUGAAAAUCCAAAAUUGUACUCGAUGAAUGUGCAAUUGCUCAAGCAGGUAAAUUUCCUGCAAAGGCUCUUACAAACCCUCAAAGAUGAUACUCUACAUACCAUGGUAACCUGAGUAACAAAAAGAAACACAGUGAAUAUUAAAGGGCAUUCUGACAAUGCAAAUUUGUGUAAAUUAACAACUGCGGUUACCUGCAUAAUAGUGUCAAUACCGAAUUCCUUCCUCCAUGGAAGCAUGUGAUCAGCCCACAUGUGCUUUGCUCUGUAGCUUUUGAAUACCUGAAAUUGUUAUCACAACCAACGGUGAAAAAUGGGUGAAAAAAGGGUAAUAGUAGCAUAAUUGAAUUUGCUUAUAGAGGAUAAACCGAUCAAAGAAAAAAACAAGACAGAAAUGAUGAUCUUAGUACCUUAAUAUCAUGCAAUAAUAAUCAUCAUGCCUUCUAGGCAGCUAUCCAUCCUCAAUUGAAACAGAGCAGACCUGGCCAUCACUUUCUUCUUCAAAGUCCAGCAACUGAACGUUGCACACAACACCACAGUGGAAGUUCCAUCACCAGCCUAAUCCUUGAUUACCCCAAUGUUCUCCAUAGGGUCUUCAAAGUCAACCUAAAAAUAAAAUGAAAAUGCAAUGCAUUAUUAUUAGGGAUCUAGUGCUUGAGCUUGCUUUGACAUCAUGGUAUUAGCAAAUUCUGAUAUAGCCAAAAUGGUGAAUAAGAUGACGUACUUGAUAAGAAAAACCUGAUUUAACAAAUAAUUAAGGAGCCGGUAACAAUCACAGAAUCUCAUCAUGUGGGGAACGCCUUGGCAACAGAAGAUGGUGCUUUCAUUCAAGCAAUAGCAACUUUCCAAUUUCAUAAGGUAGUUUAAUGGCCCUUUUAAGAACAUCUGCACCAGCCUAAUAAUUAUUCAUGGAAAUUAAUAAUCAGAAUCAUGUUAGAUUGAGAGAUGAAACAUAAUAAGCGAUUUGGCCACCAUAUAUGCAUUUAUCACCUUCAAUUUGCUCAUCUUUGUCUAGAGUAUUGCUUCUGCAUUAACUUAAUUAGCUUGCAAGCCACCUGAACAUGGUUUUAAAUAAAGUGUAAGAGCUCGAAUUCGAACGAAUUAAUCAAAUAUGCUGACAGGAGAAACAAAAGUAAAUAACCACAAGAAGUAGAAAUAUACUUUUGUUAUAUUCAGAGCAUCUUCUUGCGUCAAGUUCUUUUCCUUUAGCUCUGUUUCUGUUUGUGCUCAAACGCAAUGGCUCAAGGGCCAAGAUAAUUUUAUGACCAUCAAUCUUUUUGCAGCCACAGCAGACUUGAAAAAAUGAUUGUGGCCCUAAGGAACUUGAAAAUUAGAAAAGAUUCAGAAUGAGUGACUAAAUAUUAUAAUUGAAACUAACUAAACAUUAUAAUCGAAACUAAUUAAACGCCUAGAAAAUCUGAAACUGAGCAAUUGCUUCUGGUGGAAACUUUACUGCAAGGACUUUCUCAAACCCUUGAAGAUCACACUCUACCUGAUAACAAAGAAACAGUCAAUAUACGAAGAUGAUUUUACUAACAAGUGAGUGCUUACACAUAUUGGAAGGAUAAUGAUGAUUCAUAACCCAAAUCCCCAAUACUCCCUAUUAUCUCACUCAAGUUCGAGCUCCCAGAAUUCACUACUGUGAAGCUCUCACAACAAAAUUCCCUUCAAAGAUUCUCUACUCAAAUUUGAUGAUGAUGUCCCUCCAAAGGAGGCAAAAAAUCUAACACUGAUCAAAUUGGUUUGUGAACAAUUAAUCUUCCUGGCCAUCAUGCAUACCAGGUGUGGUGAGCAAUCUUCAUUAUGACAUUUGCCUUAAUAAGCAGCUUAGUUUCCUUAACCUGAUAACUUACACAAACAAAAACAACUUGAUUAAAGUUUAAUAUUUAGAGGCAGAACAGUAAAGAAGAUGAUAUAUAUUGAUACUAAAAUUUGACCUGUGUUAUCCUGACGUCAAGAAUCACAGCAUCUCAUGUGGGCAGAAUCUUCGCAGUACAAUAUGCUUGCAAAAUUGAAGCAGCAUCUUAUCACCUGUAAUUUAAUUAAGACAAUAACUUUCCCCAACCAUUUCAAUGCAUUAUUGCCAACUAAAUUCAGAGGGUGCUAAUUAAAUAGCCUUUGAACAAUAUAUUCUUAUUCUUCUCCAAUCUAACAAUUAUUUCGAAAAUCUAAAUGACAAUCACGCAUCGAUGGCAUCAAAAUUUGGCUACAAAGCAGCCUGGAAAAGGCUUUACUCUCUGAAUGAGAGCAUGAAUUCGAAACAAAUAUGAUGAAUGAAGAAAAUAAGGCAUAAUACCACCAAAAGUAAAACUUUCUCCCAGGGCUCUAUGUUUCUGUUUGUGCUAAAACCAAUAGAAACCGAUGGAAAUGAAUUUCUAGGAAUUAGACAUAUCAGCGAAAACAGGUAUUCUGUACAAGCAAAGUAAAAUAGGGUUACCAAAAUUUUUAAGAUUGAUAUGAUACUUGAAAAAUAGGUUUGCACAGAAUUAAUUAUUCUGUCAUUGAGAUUGUUCUUUUAUAGAGAUUUACAGCACACAUAAAACUAUUAAAUCAGUAAACUAAAUCACUGAUUUAAGGAAAGAAUAAUUUCUAGGUAGAUUUUCCUAAAAUACAUAGAUUUGCACCUAAAUAGCUAUGUUACAGCUAAUGACUAAUUUACAGCACAUAUUUUUUCUAAUUUUCUAACACUCCCCCUCGAGCUGGUUUGAAGAUAUCCUCCAUAGCCAGCUUGCCAACUAGAAAAUUGAACUGUUUUGUGUGUAGUCCUUUGGUAAAGACAUCAGCCACUUGUUCUCCAGUAGGAAUGUGCUCCAUAUGAACCAAUCCAUUAUCUAUCUUCUCCUUGAUGAAAUGCUUGUCAAUCUCCACAUGUUUUGUGCGGUCAUGAAGGACUGGAUUGUGUGCUAUUGAGAUUGCUGCCUUGUUGUCACAGUACAACUACAUAGGAGAUGAUUUUGUCGCUUUUAACUCUUCCAACAGCCUCCUAAUCCACAUGAUCUCACAAAUGCCAUGGGUUACAGCUCUAAAUUCAGCCUCAGCACUGCUCCUAGCUACCACAUUCUGUUUCUUGCUUCUCCAAGUAACCAAAUUACCACCUACAAAUGAACAGUAUCCAGAAGUGGAUCUUCGGUCUACUUUGCAGGUAAAUUUACUGCAAAGGCUCUUACAAGCCCUCAAAGAUGAUAUUCUACAUACCAUGGUAACCUGACUAACAAAAAGAAACACAGUGAAUAUUAAAGGGCAUUCUGACAAUGCAAAUUUGUGCAAAUUAACAACUGCGGUUACCUGCAUAAUAGUGUCAAUACCGAGUUCCUUCCUCCAUGGAAGCAUAUGAUCAGCCCACAUGUGCUUUGCUCUGUAGCUUUUGAGUACCUGAAAUUGUUAUUACAACCAGCGGUGAAAAUUGGGUGAAAAAAUGGUAAUAUUAGCAUAAUUGAAUUUGCUUAUAGAGGAUAAACCGAUCAAAGAAAACGACAAGAUAGAAAUGAUUAUCUUAGUACCUUAAUAUCAUGCAAUAAAAAUCAUCAUGCCUUCCAGGCAGCUAUCCAUCCUCAAUUGAAACAGAGCAGACCUGGCCAUCACUUUCUUCUUCAAAGUCCAGCAACUGAACGUUGCACACAACACCACAGUGGAAGUAGUUCCAUCACCAGCCUAAUCCUUGAUUACCCCAAUGUUCUCCAUAGGGUCUUCAAAGUCAACCUAAAAAUAAAAUGAAAAUGCAAUGCAUUAUUAUUAGGGAUCUAGUGCUUGAGCUUGCUUUGACAUCAUGGUAUUAGCAAAUUCUGAUAUAGCCAAAAUGGUGAAUAAGAUGAUGUACUUGAUAAGAAAAACCUGAUUUAACAAAUAAUUAAGAAGCCGGUAACAAUCACAUAAUCUCAUCAUGUGGGGAAUGCCUUGGCAACAGAAGAUGGUGCUUUCAUUCAAGCAAUAGCAACUUUCCAAUUUCAUAAGGUAGUUUAAUGGCCCUUUUAAGAACAUCUGUACCAGCCUAACAAUUAUUCAUGGAAAUUAAAAUUCAGAAUCAUAUUAGAUUGAGAGAUGAAAUAUAAUAAGCGAUUUGGCCACCAUAUAUGCAUUUAUCACCUUCAAUUUGCUCAUCUUUGUCUGGAGUAUUGCUUCUGCAUUAACUUAAUUAGCUUGCAAGCCACCUACAAAUGGUUUUAAAUAAUGUGUGAGAGUGUGAAUUCGAACGAAUUAAUCAAAUAUGCUGACAGGAGAAACAAAAGUAAAUAACCACAAGAAGUAGAAAUAUACUUUUGUUAUAUUCAGAGCAUCUUCUUGCGUCAAGUUCUUUUCCUUUAGCUCUGUUUCUGUUUGUGCUCAAACAGAAUGGCUCAAGGGUCAAGAUAAUUUUAUGACCAUCAAUCUUUUUGCAGCCACAUGCAGACUUGAAAAACUGGUCGUGGCACUAAGGAACUUGAAAAUUAGAAAAGAUUCAGAAUGAGUGACUAAAUAUUAUAAUCGAAACUAAUUAAACAUACACGCCUAGAAAAUCUGAAACUGAACUUCUCAAAUGUAUAUGCCUCUUCGCAGCAAUUGCUUGUGGUGGAAACUUUACCGCAAGGACUUUCUCAAACCCUUGAAGAUCACACUCUACCUGAUAACAAAGAAACAUAGUCAAUAUACGAAGAUGAUUUUACUAACAAGUGAGUGCUUACACAUAUUGGAAGGAUAAUGAUUACUCAUAACCCAAAUCCCCAACACUCCCUAAUAUCUCACUCAAGUGAGUACGAGCUCCCAGAAUUCACUACUGUGAAACUCUUACAACAAAAUUCCCUUUAAAGAUUCUCUACUCAAAUUUGAUGAUGAUGUCCCUCGAAAGGAGGCAAAAAAUCUAACACUGAUCAAAUUGGCUUGUGAACAAUUAAUCUUCCUGGCGAUCAUGCAUACCAGGUGUGGUGAGCAAUCUUCAUUCUGACAUUUGCCUUAAUAAGCGGCUUAGUAUCCUUAACCUGAUAACUUACACAAACAAAAACAACUUGAUUAAAGUAUAAUAUUUAGAGGCAGAACAGUAAAGAAGAUGAUAUAUAUUGGUACUAAAAUUUGACCUGUGUUAUCCUGACGUCAAGAAUCACAGCAUCUCAUGUGGGCAGAAUAUUCGCAGUACAAGAUGCUUGCAAAAUUGAAGCAGCAUCUUAUCACCUGUAAUUUAAUUAAGACAAUAACUUUCCCCAACCAUUUCAAUGCAUUAUUGGCAACUAAAUUCAGAGGGUGCUAAUUAAAUAGCCUUUGAACAAUAUAUUCUAAUUCUUCUCCAAUCUAACAAUUAUUUGGAAAAUCUGAAUGACAAUCAUGCAUCGACGACAUCAAAAUUUGGCUACAAAGCAGCCUGGAAAAGGCUUUACUCUCUGAAUGAGAGCAUGAAUUCGAAACAAAUAUCAUGAAUGAAGAAACAAAGGCAUAAUACCACAAAAAGUAAAACUUUUCCCAGGGCUAUCUGUUUCUGUUUGAACUAAAACCAAUGGAAACCGAUGGAAAUGAAUUUCUAGGAAUUAGACAUAUCAGCCAAAACAGGUACUCUGUACAAGCAAAGUAAAAUAGGGUUACAAAAAAUUUUAAGAUUGAUAUGAUAAUUAAAAUUUCAGUCACCAUAUAAUUAAUAGAAAACUUUGGACACAAUGAUUUAUUGCAUAUUAAGAUUGCUAUAUAAAAUAUAAUAUUAGCAUUAGGAGACCGCACCGAAGCAUACCGAAUUGAAUGUGCCUUUUCACAGCCAUUUUACAAGCUUUGAAGCUUCACCACAAAUGCUUUUUCCAACCCGUGAACAUGGUGCACCCGAGAGAUGCAAGCUAUGAAAUUGUUACUACAGCAAGCGUUGGAACAUUUGUUAAAAAAGGAAGUUUAUGAAAAUACGCCUUUGGAUACCAGUCUUCAGGAAUCAAUUCAUCCGUAAUAACAAUUUUCAAGAAUUAUCAACUGCUUUAAGCUCAUCGACAUCACAAAGAUCUCAACUAAAAUAGAGCAGAUCCGGCCAUCACUAUCCCUUCUACUGCUCUUUUCCUUUAGAGAAUGAUUGAAUUACAGAAUGCGUGUAAGGCAUUCUUAUUCAAGGUCCAAUGAUCAAACCUUGCACUAUAACAACAGAGGUAGUAGUUUCUUCGCCAGCCUAAUCCUUGGUCUCAGGAAUGUCCUCAACAGAGUACUCGAAAUCAACCUAAAAAUUAAGAAUGAGUUGGAAAACUGUUUAUGGCCCUAAAGAACUUGAAAAUAAGAAAAGAUUAAGAAUGAGUGACUAAACAUUUAAUCGCAACUAAACAUACAAACCUUGAAAAUCUAACUUUGAAGUACUCUUGAAUGAAUGAGCAGUUGCACGAGCUGGUGACAACUAAGGUUACUGUGAAGUCUCUUACAAAUCCUUAAAGAUGAUACUUUACAUACCACGAUAACCUGAUAACACAUAGGAACACAAUAAACAUUAAAGUGUAUUCUGACAAUGCAAAUUUGUGGAAAUCAUCAGCUGUGGUUACCUGGACAAUAUUGCCAACACCAAACUCCUUCCUCAAUUGAAACAUAUGAUCAGCCCACAAAUGCUUUGCUUUGUAGCUUUUGAGAGCCUGAAAUUGUUAUCACAACCAACAAUGAAAAUUGGGUGAAAAAAUUGAUAAUAUUAGCUUAAUUCCAUAUGUUUAUAUAGGAUAAACCGAUCAAAGAAUGAAAAAAGAUAGAAACAGAGCAGACCCAGCCAUCACUUUCUUCUUCAAAGUCGCACCAUAACCACAGUGGUAGUCGUUCCACUGCCAGCCUAAUCCUUGGUCACCCCAAUGUUCUCCAUGAAGUAUUCAAAGUCAACCUAAAAAUAAAUAAAAAUGCAAUGCAGGUGGAAAUGAAAAUUCUAUAAAUUAAAUAAAAUAAAAAUGCAAUGCUUGAGCUUGAGCUUGCUUUAGCAUCAUCGUAAUAGUAAAUUUUGAUAUAUCUUUACUUCUCUGUUCUUGUUUAUUCACAACAAGAUAUCAAUAGAAGAAGAUGGAAAUGAAAUUCUAUAAAAUAAAGCAAGUGAAUUACCAACAGAACAUUUUAGCAAUCCUUUGGCUAAACUUUUCAUUUUCUUAGCAUACUCUCCUGCCUGGUGAACAUAAUUAAACAAGUAUGAAAUAAAACAAAGUGGGCUAAUGUAGUAAAAACAAUAACACAAUUACUUUAAAGAAUUAAUGUCACGUAUAUUAUAUAUAAAAAAAUACGAUUAUCAUUAUAUAAGAUAAAAUUGAUAAUUUAGUUUUCAACAUUACUGCAAACGUAUCACAGAGAUUUUGUUACACAUAACAAAUUUUCGUACAUAUGAAAAUAAAUUACAUUGCAUGAAAUUUUACAAAAGAGCACAUAUUUUUUAAAAGUAAAUAAAUAUAGAAAUUUCAACAGACUACACUUGUAUUUUUUUUUAAUUAUUUAAUCUUUAGAAAACAAGUUUAACAGAUUUGAUAACUAGGAAGUUUUACGUAUUUAUACCAUGAUUGAUUCUAUAUAGAAUUUUAAUUCAAAAUAUAAUUAUUUUUAUUAAUUUCAUUGCAAGCAACAACGAAGUAAAUUAGAGGAGGAGGAGAAAUUACCGGCGAGUGAUAAAUUACCGCGACCACUUGAUGUGGGGAAUGCGAGAUAUCUUAUGCCAGUCUUCUCCUUUCCCCUCUCUAUAACGGUUUUCCAGAAGAGGACAUCUGUCAAUAGUCAAUUCCUGCAGCGUCGUCGUCCGAAGAAGGUAAUCCGGCAGCACCUUUAAUUUGGGGCAAUACUCAAUUACCAAGGAAGAAAGACGUGGUAUGUCUGUUGUCCUGUGAUCUUCUAGAAUGGGCAGUUCUUCCAUAUUUGCACAAAAAGAAAUCCUCAGUUUCUGCAGUGCCGUCGUUCGAAGAAGGUAAUCCGGCAGCGCCUUCAAUUUGUUGCAAGAACGAACUUCCAAGGAAGAAAGACGGGGCAUGAUAGAGAUGUUUUCCUUCCUCGUAAUCCUGUAAUUCCACUCUUCCAAUUCUUCCAUGUCCCAAAUUAUGAGUGAUUUCAAUUUGGGGAAGGCAGUAACUGAUGAUGAUGAUGAAGAUGAAGACGGGCCAUCCUCACUGCUUUCUUCUAUUCCCAAAAACUCAUUACCCACUCUUUUUACACUUUUCAAGUACCAUAGUUCGAGUUUUUCCAGAGGCAAUUUUCCCAAAGGAGGCAAAUGCUCACACUUAAGGCACGAGCGAAGAUAUAAAUUCCUUAGAUUGGUCAGUGAAGUCAACCAUUUGGGAAAAAUGUUGCGUCCAUAUAAUAUAAUCCCUAAUUUCUCUACACUCAAAGGCGGUUGUAAGGCUUUAAGAAGUUGUUCAUCUUUCUCUUUCUUCCUCCUCCUUUCUUCAUCUUCCCCAUCUACGACUCUACCAAACUCAAGACGCAAACGAAGGAGGUUUUGCUGAUUGUAAAGUUGUAAUCUCUCGACCUCAUCUAAACGGGACACAUUACCCAGCCCUUCAAUUCCACAUUCUCGAAGGAGUUGAAGAUUUUUCAGAGAUUCAAGCCUACAAGUAUUGCUACCAUCAACACCUCCACCCACCACAAACUUGUCUAAUGUUCGAAGACUGGUUAAUUUGGAAAUCCCUACUGGCAUGUAUUUCAACGAAUAAGUUUCAGCAUUCAGUAAACUCCUCAUGUUCUUUAACUUCCCAAUCCCCGCUGGCAAUUCUUUAAGAUUUCGGCACCGCCUAAUAUCUAGCUUUUGUAAAUUAUAUAAUUCACACAAAGUCUUAGGUAGUCUCUCUAUGCCUAAUUCAGACAAAUUAAGAUAUCUUAAAUGUAUCAAUUUUCCGACAUUUUUUGGAAUUUCUCUAAUCAAACUUGAGUGAAGACGAACAGGCGAGGAUGAUAGCCUUAUAACUAAUGAUUCCCUUAUAACUAAUGCCCUCAAACAUGCCAAUUUACUAAAUAACUUUCGAGUUUCUCUAAUCUUAUAUGUGUUUGGACAAAAACAUAGGCGCAACAGCCUUAUAACUAAUGCCCUUAAACAUUCUUUGCUACUACUAAAAGACGAAAGGAUGCUACUAAGAGACAGAUUGAAAUCACUUCUAUCAUAAAUUAAAAGGGUACGCAAUCUAUCAAGUCCACGAAUGGAUAUAGGAAAUGAAGUGCCUCUUUGAAAAUUUAACCCUAAGUGACGGACUUUGUCACCAAAAGAGUUUAUGACUGAGUCUUUGGUACCAUUAAUUUCUACCCACAAACAUUCUUUUCUACUUACAAAUUGGGCAAAAUCAUGUAUUAUGUCAUGCAUCUUGCAGCUCAUAAUAUCAUCAUCAUCAUCUUUUUUAAACUCUUGAAAGAAAGAGCGUGCUGCUAAAAUGUUGAAAUACUCUUCCCCAAUCAUCUCCAUCUCUUCGUCUUCUUCUGUAUUAAGAUAACCUUGAGCCAUCCAUAGUGAAAUUAGUUCCUCUUUAUUCAUAUUGUAGUUUUUUGGAAAGACAGCACAAUAUGAGAAACAUUGUUUUACCAUAGAAUUGGAGGGCAAAUCGUUAUAACUCAACAACAAAGGAGCUAAAAGACCUUGCCCAAUUGCUUCUACUUUCCACAUUUCACUCUCUAAAAUUCUUUGCCACUCUUUUACUGUACUUUUAGAGCGCAAGAGAUUCCCUAUUACCUUUGCAGCAAGAGGCAGGCCUUUGCACUUAUGUGCAAUUUUGCGCCCGAUUGGUUCUAAUUUUUCACGAUCCUCAAAGGACCUACGUAGAAAUGCCAUCUGCUUAAACAGUAACCAACAUUCCCCUUCUCCCAACUCCUUGACAGGGAUAAUAUCUAUUGAUCCCAACUGUAGUGCAACUGACCUAUCACGUGUGGUAAUUAGAAUUUUACUUUCAUGGUGGCCAUUCUUUAGACAAGAAAAGAAUGGGUCCCAUUUUUUGUAAUCUACAUCCCACACAUCAUCUAAAACAAGAAAAAACUUUUUUCCUUCAAUUGAUGUAUGGAUAUGGCUCAUAAGAGAUUGGAAUUCGCUUAAAUCAUAAGCUUCUUUUGACUUGCCUAGACCUUCAAUGAUUGCUUUGGCAACCCUAAUCCUCUCAAAAGUGUCUGAUACACACACCCAUAUAACUUUUUCAAAAUUUCUUUUCACCUCAUCAUUAUUAUAGGCCAGUUGUGCAAGAGUGGUUUUACCUAUACCCCCUAACCCAACUAGUGAGAUGAUAUGAAGGCCUUCUUGUUGUUCACUACUUUGACACAACAACUUGCUUAAGAGCUCAUCUUUCUCAUUAACUCUACCGCAAACCUCUCCCUCAUCAAUCAAGGAGGUGGUUCGCACUCGCUCUGGUUUCUUGACAUUGUUACUCACAUUCUCAACAAAUUUAAACAUAUCUUUUCGAGUGGCAAUACCAUCUAGCUUUUCAUUGAUUUCCCUAAUCUUGACAGCAAUGUCAUGACGAAGACUGAGUUGUUUGAAACUGCCACAGCAGUUUGAUACAGCACAAAAGAAGGAACGUACCUUCUUCUUAUGAACGCCCUCAAUCUGCAAUUUGAGCCUUGCAGUGGUCCACUCCUCCAACACAUCUUCCAUGUCGUAAGAUGCGUCUUUGAGCUGAUCCAGCCAAAAAGUAACAUCUUUCUCGUGCUGCAUUUGCCUUUUCUCUGCAUCUUCCAGCACAAGUUGAAUGGCUUGUAGAUUGCUGGUGAGCUUUUUCACUUCUUCGUCGACACCAGUAACAAGCCUCACCUGUUGUUUCAGUUCAUCAGUUGCAACUGAGCUCAGCUGCUCCAGGAGAGAGGAAACGAUCGCAUCAACCAUUCUGACAAAGAAGAUGAGAAUUCUGAAGAGUUAUUAGAUGUGCUUUUGUUGCGAAGAUAUGAAAGAAAGGAGUUAUUGCAUUCUUUUAUACUGCAUAGAAAAGGUUUAUGCUUAUCCCCACCCCACACGUCAAUGAUUGUAGAAUGUUUAAUUUCCCUGAUUCUACUCCACUAGUUGUGAUGCGUAAUUAUAAAUAUUCUCAAGUUAUGUAUGAAAAUCCCACAAAUUUGGAUCUAGUAAUGAUUUUUAUGUAUUUUUUCAUAAUCUUCUAAAAUACUAUAUCUGCAUGUUAUUUCGUGCAGAAAUAUGGCAUUGGGUGAAAAAAGUUAUGCUUAUCCCCACCCACACGUUAGUAAUUGUAGUAGCAUCUGUAAUUUCCAUGAUUCUACUCCACGGACGAACACAUUUUUUGUACUAACAUCUUUAAAUUCCCACACGUUAGGAAUUUGGCACAUAAUCUCAAACUCGUCGCAUCUUUAACGUAUGAGGUUGAUGAAUAAAUUCUUUUCUCAUAUCAAUUUAAAACUCCGAGAUUAUGUGCCAAAUUCCUAACGUGUGGGAAUUUUACCUCCUAAGUAAUCCGGCCCACUGCCAAGUGCCAACUUUUUCUCUGUCGAGUUAAUGAUGUUGUUUUGUUUUCCUUGUUUUAAUUAAUGUUGCGGAGAGAAACAGAUCGAUGCAAAUGGCUAGCCAGGUUUUGCAGAAACCGUGAAUGGUCUUGCAUGCAUGUGACAUAAAGCUUUAUAUAUAGCUUAUUCCUCCAUCAACAUUUCAAUGGUUCCAUCUCACGUGCACUUGGCUAUGAAUAAGGUCCAUGCAUGGAUCGAUCGAUUUAGGAGUUUGGACCAUCUCAUGCUGCAGAGUUAUGUGUCAUGUAUGUGUGUUGACACUUGCCAGUUCAUUUUUGUUAUAAAGAUUAUUGAUACUCGUAAAUGUACUACUUACAAAUCAUAAAUUUUGAGUUUGACACUUUAGUUUCAUUUUGUAAUCCCUACGCUCUUUAAAUAUUUGUAAUAAUAUAUUUCAAACUUUAACUCAGACGUAAUGAAUGAAGGGGGAUCCUCUUCUUAUAUAAAUUUUUAUUUUUUAACGUUCAAGUUACAUUUGAUUACGUGUACUUAUUAUCUAGUUUUGACUAUCUAAUGACAUUUGAUUACGUGUACUUAUUAUAUGAUUUUUUUUUAAAUGAUGGGUCUGGUGAGAUUUUUUACAUCUUGGAUUAGUAGGUCAAGAACGGGCAGGGCAGGGCCUUCUCUGAAGUCAAUCUUGUGAGCAACACCAGCUUUUUGGAUAAUUGGCAGCCCCAAUUCAUAAUUUUCUCAGUUGAUGUCCAUGGCCAAAAUCUGCAACCGAAGCUUAUUCUACUCUUAUUAAUCGAGAGAUAAUUUUAUCUCUAACUAAUUUAAUUGGGAGGAAAAUUGAGAGAGAUAUCCACUCUGUCCUUAUUAAUUGAGAGAUAAUUUUACCCUUACCCAAUUUAAUUGGAAAGGAAAUCGAAUUCCAACAAUAACUAGGACUUGAAUCCAUGCACUUAAGCUAACUUUAAGUUUUAGGAUGCAUGGUUAUAAUGUUCUUUAUUUAAAUCCUAACAAAUGGUGGGACUUGAACUUGUGCCUACAAACAUUGAGUGCUUAGGGGCUGCAAAAUUUCAUAACUUAAUUUUAGUUGAUGUGGUAUGUGCCCUAUCACAUAAAUAUGUAGAUAAUAAUAAUUAAUACAUUAACAAAAUGAAAAAUAUUAGUUUACAAAAUACAAAUCCAAAUUUUUUGUGUGACAAGGGACUUAAAAGGGAGAGACUAAACAAAUGUGGUGAAAACGACAUGUAUUACUAAAACUAAAAAUACGAAGUCUAGGCAAUUGAAAACAUCGGGUUUUUUAUUUAAAUAUCCCCAAUUUGUCCUUAAAUACCAAAUUUAUACCCUAUUAUAUACAUAUACCUCACGAAGAUAGGGAAAAUAAAAAAUAACCUUAAAAAAAUCAAGAAUCCACACAUUUCUUCCUCUCAGUGCAGGAAGAUGUCGAGUACGAAGUCGGGUAAGUCGAGAAUUUAGUCGAGCAAGAAUUGGAGAUAAGUAAGUUGAGUAUAUGGUCCAGUAGGAAGUUGAGUAAGCAUAUUAAAUGAGUCCAGUAUUAAGUGGUAGAGUAUUAAGUAAAAGUCAAGUAAAUUUUUUAAACAAGUCAAAUAAAAUUUAUGUAAUUUUUAAAGAGGUUGAGUAUUAAGUCGGGUUAGUACAUUGGGUCGAGUGUUAAUAUUUUUAAAGAAGUGAAGUCUGGUAAGUUGAGCAUUCAGUCGAGUAAGAAGUUAAGGCAAUUGAAUAAGUCGAGUCUCUAGUCGAGUACGAAGUCGGGUAUAAAGUCUGGUAAGUUGAGCAUUCAGUCGAGUAAGAAGUGAAGGCAAUUGAAUAAGUCGAGUGUCUAGUCGAGUACGAAGUUGGGUAUGAAAUCUGGUAAGUUGAGCAUUCAGUCGAGUGAGAAGUGAAGGCAAUUGAAUAAGUCAAGUAUCUAGUCGAGUACGAAGUCGGGUAUGAAGUAUGGUAAGUUGAGCAUUCAGUUGAGUAAGAAGUGAAGGCAAUUGAAUAAGUCGAGUACGAAGUCGGGUAUGAAAUAUGGUAAGUUGAGCAUUCAGUCGAGUGAGAAGUUAAGGCAAUUGAAUAAGUCGAGUAUCUAGUUGAGUACGAAGUCGGGUAUGAAGUUUGGUAAGUUAAGCAUUUAAUCGAGUAAGAAGUGAAGGUAAUUGAAUAAGUCGAGUAUCUAGUUGAUUACGAAGUCGGAUCUGAAGUCUAGUAAGUUGAACAUUCAGUUGAGUAAGAAGUGAAAACAAUUGAAUAAGUCGAAUAUCUAGUCGAGUAAAAAAGUCGAGUAAGUAGAUUGAAUGAGUAGGGUAUUAAUUUUUUGUUGGCAUUUUAUUGAGGCUAUUUUUGUACUUUCUUUGGUUUUUUAAGUAUGUAUAUGCAAAGUACAGAUUUUAAUAGAUGGAUGUAUAUUUUGGGUAUUACGAGAGAAACGGGGUAUAUCCCACGCAAUUCCUUCGAAAACAUCUCUGUCAAUUGCAAUGAACAGAUCACAACCCUUCAUAAUUAAACAAAAUCAAACUUGAAAAAAAAAAUCACACACACACACACAAAACAAUCACAAAAACUAUUUGUUCUGAUCAUCCCUGCUUUUUUUUAGCGUAGCUCUUGGAAUGAAAAUUAACAAAAAGUGUCAAAAGAGAAGCAUUAAACACAGCAUUGAAGCACCAGCCCAAAAUCCCAGAGCAACCAAAUCCCGUAAAAUGAUAAUACAGCAUCAAAACCGAAACAACAAAACUAAACACAAACUGAACAAUCUAACAAUCAGUGACCAAUCUCUUCCACUUUGGCCGCAACCCCAUCACACACAAUAGAUAGUACCCGUACAUGAUCACAUGCACACUUGCAUUAGUCACAAGUGCAAUAGGAAACAAAGACUGCUUCGUCUGUAACCAAAGGUAGCACAUUACGACGACGGUUGCAUGGUGGUAGACGUGGAGGAACGUGAGCCAUUGGAUGGAUUUUGACAAAAUGAUCAAAAGGGUGUCUAAGAAUUCGAGUAUUUUGGAGAGGUAGAAGAGGUAAGCGUAGAAGAAGAGGGGCCAGACGGAGAAAUGGUGGGGGGGAAACAGAGGGUGUAAUGGAGGUGGGGCAAAUGGACGAUGAUGGAGAGAGUGCAGCCAACGGCCAUGAUGAGGGAGAGGAGGAGGAGGGUGAGGUUAUGGACGGCUGUGAUGGGCUUGAGGAUGUGGGGUCCAAUGAGAGGUGAUGAUGAUGGUGAUGUUGAUGUUGAUAUGUGGUAGAGGAUGAAUGUGAGGGAGAGGUAAGUGAGGAUGGAGAGAAUGAGGAAGUGUGGGGAAGAAGCUAGUGUUUGGUUCUGAGUCCAUGUGAAGCUGAGGAUUUGGGGGUGGUUUACAAGACAAUAUUGGAGUGUUGAGGUGAUUGAAUUUGAAGCCAUGGCUAGUUUUGGGGGAAGAAAGAUUUUGGAAGAGAUGAUGUUGAGAUGAACGGGGAGUUUAUAAAGUUUUGGGAUAAUGUGGAGGGUAUUUUGGACAUAUUGUUGUCUCAGCUUAAAUUUUGGGAAAAAGAUGAUCAAUAAGAAGCUCUUUUUUUCAUAUCAAUUUAAAACUCCGACGGUGUUUCCAAAAAUUGUUUUUCUUUUUCCGUUUUUAAUUUUAAAUCAUAAAUUUAGUAAAAGAAGUUGAAUCAAGUGAUCACUUUUUUUUUAAUGUAAAACAAUUAAUUUCUUUGUGAUUUAAGCAAAUAUUGAGUUGCAUACUUUAAAUAUAUUAAUAUUUGAUUCGAAAUUUCAUCUACCGAAACUACAAAAAUUAAUAUUUUCUAUUAAAUCAAAACCAAAAUUAAAGAUGACUCCUUGUCUGCCAACUGUCAUUAAACAAAGCCAUCACUCACGUGAAAAAAAAAAGUGAUAUAUUCAUUUUAACGUAAUUUCAUACCAACAUAUCAUUCUUUUUUUUCCAAUAAUGACCUCUUUAAUUAUAAAUAUGGUAAAAGGGGAUGGGUUCGAGGUAUGGCGUCCGGGCCUUUGUGACAACGGUAUCUUUGGACGUGGGUGUCGUUAGAUUUUUGGCUAUUUUCUGGUCAAUCAAACUGGUGGAUCACAUGCAUUUUAAUGACCUCUUUAAUUAUAAAAAUAUGGUAAAAGGGGAUGGGUUUAAGGAAUGGCGUCCAGGCCUUUGUGACAAAGUUGGAUGUGGGUGUCAUUUAGACUUUUGGCUAUUCUGCUCAAUCAAACUCGUGGAUUACAUGCACUCAACGCGGACAUUAUGGAAAUGGGAGAAAAUUAUGUUAGUAAUAGCAUCUUCAAAAGUUUCUAUACAUUUUACUCUUUAAAUAUUUAUUUACUUAUUUAUAUGAUAAAUAGAAAGGUAAAAAAAUAUAUUAUUCUCCAAAAAAACUCUUUCAAAUAAAAAUUAAGUUAAUAUUAUUUUAAUCAAAUAAUUAUUUUUUAAAGGAAAAGUUAACAGCAAUUAAAGCACUUCUCUUUCUCUCUCUAAUAAAAAGUAAUAAAAUAUUAAUUGAAGUGUUUUUUAGAACCUUAAAUGUUGAUGUGACUCUUCAAAUAAGUAAUAAAAUCUUAAUUGAAGAGCCUUUUGGUGAUGGUUUAAAACCCACUGUUUUCGUUCUAAACUAAGUGAAUUUAUCUCGUGAGCUAAGUAGUUUAGGAGAUAACUCAAAUAAUUAACUUUUAUUAGUUUAAUAAUAAGAAUUUUCGAUUAUAUUUUAAAAGGUAUAAUUCAUUACAAAAAAUUACUUAAUAAAAAUAACUUUAUUUAACAUAUUACAUUUUUUCAAUAAUAAAAUAAUUCAAAUUUUUAAUUAUUAUAACAAAAAAAAUUUGUAAUAUAAUCCAUUCAUAUACCACAUCACGUAAAAUUAACCUAGUACUACAUGUAAUCUUGUUACUACUAUUCCUAUAAUAUUCUACACAUCAUAUACUAUCAAAUUCCAUCCGGCAUGCCAAAUGUGCAAAGUUUGAGUAAGACUUGUUAAAGUUGAGAGUAACAUCUUAUAUGGCCAAGCGCAUUGAGUAUGGAUUUGCAUGAUCGAGUGAGUACAACUAAAGUCGGGUAGAGUCUGGAAAAUCCCUAUAAUGUUGAGGUUGGAGAACUAUACUUUUUAAGGUACAUAAUUAAACAAUUUUGGUAAAUAUUUACUAUUAUAACUUAAAAUUAAUUUGAUUUGAUCUCAUAUAUUAUUAUAAUAAAAAAACUUAUAAUAUCUUUAUUAAUUUUAUUAAAAAUUAUUAUUUAGAAGUCAUAUAUUUAUUACACAUUGUCAAAUUUUCAGCUUUUUGUUUUUUAACAACAGCUAGUAAUAUCAACAAGACCUAAGUUGAGUAUGAUCAAUUAAUUAAAAUUAUGAUUUUUUUUUGUAUAAAAUAAUCAUUAGAUAAUUAGUCUGUAAAGAAUAUCGGCUACUUCAAAUGGAAACUUGCGAUAAAAAAUGCAUCACAAAAGUAACAAUGACACACUAUAUAAGAAAUCUGAAAUAGAAUUUGCAAAAUUGAACUGAGUUACGGAGAGUAAAUAAGACUCAAAGGAAACAUGGGCAAUUAUUAUUAUCUAGGAAACAAUUCAUAGCUAAAACAAAAUUAACUAUACUUGCCAGGAAAUAUGGCGAAUUCCACCACCUCCUACAAGUUCUUAGGUGUCUUAGAGUUUGAUGACGACUUCCAUGCUGUCUCUUCGACAGGCAGCAAAAUUGGGCAAUUGACUACAUUAACUCCAAGAAAUUUAUGCAGUCACCUUCCUCCGGACUAUCCUCUUUCUUUGAGCUUUGGUUGCCCCUAUUUCCCCUUCAAUAGAGUCAUCACUGUUUUGUUUGAAGCCAAGGAGCCCAAGAUCAGAAAAAUGGCAUUCUUUGGUAUCAAUCCCUCGAUCCCAAAGUCACGUCACUAACUUUCUGUUGAUCGCGUAGCUAGUUCAUGUAUGCCACAGCAGCGGAAGGUAGCCUGAAGAGAAAAAACCUCUCUCUCUUUCUUGCUCAGUAACCACCUGGGCACUUUUGUGCUGAGCCAUGACAUCCUGAGAUGGCCUGUUGUGUAAGCCUUCUUCAAAAGGUCAUCUGUCGAUCUUUCUCCUAAUUAGACAUCCAAAACCCAGCAUGGAAUCCAUUUGAGAAGGUGGACAAUAGACAAACUCCAACGCAUACAGACAGUAAAGAAGAAUUUAGACGCAAUCACUGUGGCUGAAUAAAUGGGCCUAUUAAGCCUAUUAAAAGUUGGAACCAUAUUCACCACUCGCAGUUCCUUAGAGAACUUUAUCAGAAUUCUGAAAAUUUAAAACUAUUCUUACAUAUUUAACUGUAAAACAAGAGAAAUUGUACUUCCGUAGCAAAGUCUCACUAUUGGUAAGUAUCUGGACUUGGAAAGGAUGCUAGUUGAUUAAGUAAAGGAAAAUUGAAAUCAGACUUUGAGGUGAUAGAUCUAUAUACACUUUAAUCGGAACCACAUUAACAUCAUAUGAGCCAAACAAACAAAUUCCCCAGUCAAAGUUCAACAAACAAAACAUUAAAACAAGAGUAAUUUGGUGUAUCAAUGUAUAUAUAGAGAUGUCGAUCAUUGACAAAUACGUAAAAGAGGGAGGGAGAGACCUCAAAGCCGUGCUUAACAACAUUGCUACUCCAAUAACUUCAAAAUGGUUGGCGACGUCUCUAUCAAAGCCACACAAUAGCUGAUAUCUCAUGUUUGCAUGUAGUCCAAUGAAAGCACCAUAACCAAGAACAUUAGUACUCACAGAUGGGUUUGUCACAGAUAACCUGUCAGGCAAUAAAAAUUGCCCAAAUUAAACAAAUGUUAGACCGGCUUAGACAGUAAACGGAACAAUUUCUAAUUUUACUUAUUUUAUAACGAAUAAGUGAACAAAGGAAUGAAAAGGAAGUUUGGCAACAGUCUUUUUACCAGCCAGAUAGUUUGACAAAGAAUCUUGCACUGCUCCUGCAGCUAAUCCACCAUACACAACUCUGCAGUCUUGUUUGGGAGUCAAAAUUCUCAAAAUGGGUAACUCUGUUCAAAUAUACUGUUUGGGAACUUUUGUAAUGUAUUUUGCAAGUCAAACAGGAAGGUAUUUCCAUAAGAAGGUUCACUUCACAUGCUCAACAAUUCAAAUUUGCGGAUGAUAUUUCUCAAAAUGGAGGGCUCUAUUUGGCUUGCCAACAAUCUUCCUCACCAUUAUCAUCCUUGCUAUACCGGUUAAACUGAACAGUCUUCAU
rnacentral:lncRNA from 1 species